CGCUCCGUUCCCAUUUGCCUGUGUCACGUUCCGCUCGUCUCUAGUAAACUUCAUCAGUACAGUAAACCAGCGAAAUUGUUAACCCUGAUUGAUUGCUGUGCUCAACUCACCAUCUCUCUCUUCUAAACCCUCUGAUUUCGAUCGAAUGGCGAAUCCGCAGCACAUAUCUCUUCGGCCAUGGAUCCUCGAAGCAGUCCCGUUCAUCGUCGUUCUCCUAAUAGUAGCUCAUGUCCUCGCUUUGGUGUAUUGGAUAUACAGACUAGCUACUGAGAAAGAGAGGCAGCCCCAGAGGAGAAAAGCACACUAAGGAACAGGUUGAUUUGUGAAAAAUAAAAUGAAUAUGAAAACCCUAAUUUGUUGAUUUCUUGUGUAUGAAUGUUAAUUGAGUUAGCAAGUCAUUGCAGUUACUGGUCUGUGUACUAAUUAAUAGGUUAUGGAUUGCUGGGAAUUGAUGAAUUACACGGUUUAAGAAUUGGCAGAGACCCUUCUGAAUCUGAUUGUUGUUAAAAUUUAUGUAUUUUUUAAUAUUUAUUUUCAGUUCUGGUUCA